CUGGAGGAGUCUAGAUGGUACUGUAGAAGCUCGUCUGUUGGAGGAGUUCGGAUGGUACUGUGAAAGCUCGUCCGUUGGAGGAGUCUGGAGGAUACCGUGGAAGGUUGACUGCUGGAGGAGUCCGGAUGGUACUGUGGAAGCUCGUCCGUUGGAGGAGUCCGGAGGACACCGCGGAAGGUCGACUGCUGGAGGAGUUCGGAUGGUACUGUGGAAGCUCGGACGGUCGGAGAAGUUUAGAAAGACGUCGCAC
rnacentral:lncRNA from 1 species